UACGGGGGGGGCAAGCGUUGUUCGGAAUUACUGGGCGUAAAGGGCUCGUAGGUGGCCAAUUAAGUCGGACGUGAAAUCCCUCGGCUUAACCGGAGAACUGCAUCCGAUACUGGAUGGCUUGAGUUCGGGAGAGGGAUGCGGAAUUCCAGGUGUAGCGGUGAAAUGCGUAGAUAUCUGGAGGAACACCGGUGGCGAAGGCGGUUCUCUGGGCCUGUUCUGACGCUGAGGAGCGAAAGCGUGGGGAGCGAACAGG
rnacentral:rRNA from 1 species